GCUCCGUUGGUGAACCAGCGGAGGGAUCAUUACAGGACUCGCAAGACUCCUACAACCCUGUGAACUUAACUAUAAGCACGUUGCUUCGGCGGGUGUCUCGGAGGGGGUUCUCCCUCCCCGAGACGCUAAACCCGCCGGCAGCCUACUAUACUCUGUCUCUUUGCGUUGGCAUCUCGAGUACAAUCAAACAAGUUAAAACUUUCAACAACGGAUCUCUUGGUUCUG
rnacentral:misc_RNA from 1 species